CUUAUCUCCCAUGCCUUAUAGAGAGAGCAAUGGUACUAUGCUAACGCUGGAAGUUAUAGAACAGCUGGCCUCUCAUCACAGAACCAUAAAAUGUAGCUGAUUGCUAGAGCCUUUCCCAGGGAAAUACCUUACUUUGCCUUCCAAGAUUAUAUUUUGAUAGAGUAAUAAAACUGUCCCAUAUAAAAGAACAAGACAACCACGUUCAGCACUAAUGAGAUCUCACAGGUUCCUAGUAAAUGAAGGCUGGAUUUCUGGAACAGUUGCCGGCAAAUCCACAGGGGUAAAGCAGAGGUCAGCGCUCGAUUGAUCUUCUGAGUUAAAGCGUCAGAAGUGGACUGUAAUUCUCAGGCUGGUCAUGGGAAUGAGAUUGAGUCCAGCCUGAGUGUUGAGUAGUUCUCAGGGAAGCACAAUGAUUGCUUCAUUCUUGAAAGCGUUGCUGAAGGGCUUAAUUCCUCUAUGGACACGCUACGCACACUGGAGCAAAGGAAGUGUAGAGUAUUCUCAUUUUCAUCUGCUUCCAUCUUUAUGCAUCUUUGAGAAACAAAGUUUAAAGGUUGUUUACAUGAUCAAGCAUUAU